CUACGGGGUGCUGCAGGUGCGAAACCUUCACUAUGCAUUAACGUGCGAUGAGGGAAUCUGAAGUGCUAUAGCUUUGCUAUAGCUUUUUUUGAGUCAAAAUAGCUCGGAGAAUAAGGGGUGGGUAAGACAAGUGCCAGCCGCCGCGGUAAUACUUGCGCCCCGAGUGGUAUCCGGUAUUAGUUGGUCUAAAGCGUCCGUAGCCGGUUUUGUUAGUCCUUAGUGAAAUCUACUGGAAAACUGGUAGGCUUGCUGGGGAUACUGCAAGACUUGGGAUCGGGAGAGGGCAGAGGUACUGCUGGGGAAGGGGUAAAAUCCUAUAAUCCCAGUGGGACCACCUGUGGCGAAGGCGUCUGCCUAGAACGAGUCCGACGGUGAGGGACGAAACCUAGGGUAGCGAUCGGGAUUAGAUACCCGAGUAGUC
rnacentral:rRNA from 1 species